GAUCAGCAAUAGGGCAUAGGUGACACAAGGCAGUUGUCACGACGGAACUCUGUGCCCGGAAGACUUGCAAAGGUACUUUCCCUUCC
rnacentral:ncRNA from 1 species